rnacentral:rRNA from 1 species
UACGUAGGGGGCGAGCGUUAUCCGGAUUCAUUGGGCGUAAAGCGCGCGCAGGCGGACCGUUAAGCGGGACCUCUAAUCCUGGGGCUCAACCUCAGGCCGGGUCCCGAACUGGCGGUCUCGAGUGCGGUAGGGGAGGUCGGAAUUCCCGGUGUAGCGGUGGAAUGCGCAGAUAUCGGGAAGAACACCGAUGGCGAAGGCAGACCUCUGGGCCGACACUGACGCUGAGGCGCGAAAGCUAGGGGAGCGAACAG